rnacentral:rRNA from 1 species
GUAGGGGGCCUUAGCGGGCGAUCCCCCACACUGGGACUGAGACACUGCCCAGGUUCCUACGGGAGGCUGCAAUCGAGAAUCCUCCGCAAUGGACGAAAGUCUGACGGGGUGACGCCGCGUGAGUGAUGAAGGCCUUUCAGGUUGUAAAACUCUAACAGGGAGUAUAAAGUGUAUCGGGUAUAAUAUGCCCUUUACUUGAUGUCAAUCCCAGAUGAAGUCACGGCUAAAUUCGUGCCAGCAGCCGCGGUAAUACGAAUGUGGCAAGCGUUGUUCGGAAUCACUGGGCAUAAAGCGUACGUAGGCGGCGCAGUCAGUUGAUAUGUGAAAUCCCUCUGCUCAACGGAGGAAUUGCAGUCAAUACUGCUGUGCUAGAGUUCAGAAGGGGAGAGUGGAAUUCUGGGUGUAGCGGUGGAAUGCGAAGAUAUCCAGGAGAAGGCCGGUAGCGAAAGCGACUCUCUGGUCUGACACUGACGCUGAGGUACGAAAGCGUAGGUAGCGAACGGGAUUAGAUACCCCGGUAGUCUACGCCGUAAACGAUGGGCACUAGGUGGUGGAGACGCCUAUAGUCUUCUCCGCCGUAGCAAAUGCGUUAAGUGCCCCGCCUGGGGAGUAUGGUCGCAAGAUUAAAACUCAAAGGAAUUGACGGGGGCCCACACAAGCGGUGGAGGAUGCGGCUUAAUUCGAGCCCACGCGUAGAACCUUACCGAGGUUUGACAUGCAGGGAUUAACCCAGCGAAAGCUGGGGGAUUGCGUUAUGUGUAACCUGCACAGGUGCUGCAUGGCUGUCGACAGCUCGUGUCGUGAGAUGUUAGGUUAAGUCCUGUAACGAGCGAAACCCCUAUACUUAGUUGCCAGCAUGUUAUGAUGGGGACUCUAAGUAGACUGCCCCGGCCAACGGGGAGGAAGGUGGGGAUGACGUCAAGUCAGCAUGGCCCUUAUACCUCGGGCCGCACGCGUCCUACAAUGGGCUGUACAAAGAGUAGCAAGACCGCGAGGUGGAGCAAAUCUCAAAAGCAGUCCUCAGUUCGGAUUGCAGGCUGAAACUCGCCUGCAUGAAGGUGGAAUCGCUAGUAAUCGCCGGUCAGCUAUACGGCGGUGAAUACGUCCCUGGGCCUUGUACACACCGCCCGUCAAGCCACCCGAGUUGGGCGCACUCGAAGUCCAAGACUCAACCGUUCGCGGAGAGAUUGGCCGAAGGUGAAUC